GAUGAACGCUGGCGGCGUGCCUAAUACAUGCAAGUCGAGCGAACAGAUGAGGAGCUUGCUCCUCUUACGUUAGCGGCGGACGGGCGAGUAACACGUGGAUAACCUACCUAUAAGACUGGGAUAACUUCGGGAAACCGGAGCUAAUACCGGAUAAUAUAUUGAACCGCAUGGUUCAAUAGUGAAAGACGGUUUUGCUGUCACUUAUAGAUGGAUCCGCGCCGCAUUAGCUAGUUGGUAAGGUAACGGCUUACCAAGGCAACGAUGCGUAGCCGACCUGAGAGGGUGAUCGGCCACACUGGAACUGAGACACGGUCCAGACUCCUACGGGAGGCAGCAGUAGGGAAUCUUCCGCAAUGGGCGAAAGCCUGACGGAGCAACGCCGCGUGAGUGAUGAAGGUCUUCGGAUCGUAAAACUCUGUUAUUAGGGAAGAACAAAUGUGUAAGUAACUAUGCACGUCUUGACGGUACCUAAUCAGAAAGCCACGGCUAACUACGUG
rnacentral:rRNA from 1 species